rnacentral:tRNA from 1 species
GCGCCUAUCGUCUAGCCUGGUCUAGGACACCGCCCUUUCACGGCGGCGACGCGGGUUCGACUCCCGCUGGGGUCGCCA